rnacentral:rRNA from 1 species
GAUGAACGCUGGCGGCGUGCUUAACACAUGCAAGUCGAGCGAACGGACGAGAAGCUUGCUUCUCUGAUGUUAGCGGCGGGGGGGUGAGUAACACGUGGAUAACCUACCUCUAAGUUUGGGAUAAUCUCGGGAAACCGGAGCUAAUACCGUAUAAUCUUUUGAUCCGCGUGGUUCAAAAGUGAAAGUCGGUCGUUCUGUCACUUAUAGAUGGAUCCCCGCUGCAUCAGCUAGUUGGUGAGGUAAAAGCUUACCAAGGCAACGAUGCAUAGCCGACCUGAGAGGGUGAUAGACCGCACGGGAACUGAGACACGGUCAAGGCUCCUACGGGAUGCAGCAGAAGCGUAUCUUACGCAGUGGGCGAAAGCCUUACGGAGCAACGCGACGUGAGUGGUGAAGGUCUUCGGAUCGUAAAACUCUGUUAUUGGUGGAGAACAUAUGUGUCAGUAACUGUGCACAUCGUGACGGUACCUAAUCAAAAAGCCCCGGCUAACUACGUG